UGCUGGCCCCUGUAACGGUCACGUGCUAACCCCGUCAGAUCCGGAAGGAAGCAGCGGUCCGCUUAGUGCCCGUGGCAGGCCAAUCCGG
rnacentral:SRP_RNA from 1 species